rnacentral:rRNA from 1 species
UACGUAGGGUGCAAGCGUUGUCCGGAAUUAUUGGGCGUAAAGAGCUCGUAGGCGGUCUGUCGCGUCUGCUGUGAAAACCUAGGGCUUAACUCUGGGCGUGCAGCGGGUACGGGCAGGCUAGAGUGCGGUAGGGGAGACUGGAAUUCCUGGUGUAGCGGUGGAAUGCGCAGAUAUCAGGAGGAACACCGAUGGCGAAGGCAGGUCUCUGGGCCGUUACUGACGCUGAGACGCGAAAGCGUGGGGAGCAAACAGG